rnacentral:misc_RNA from 1 species
CGUCAAAACCAAACACAGUUUAGAAUAAAUGUAUGAUUGUAACACAACGUAUAAUUCAAAACCUAUGAUGUACAUUCAGUCACAAACAUCUACUGCAGGAUACUCUAGAAAAGACUCUGGGCCCAACACACCUUCCAACUAUAGAUCACUUUUUUGUUUCACAACAUGAUCUUACAUCACAGACACAAAAACCACAACUGCAGAUAAAAUCAGAACUCAGCUCCUCAAGCUAACCCCUUGAAACCCAAGGCUCCAAAAGAUCACCUCCUCCACUCAGCCUGGGUUGCCUUUGCAUUUCCUUCCCUCGUUGAUAAUAGAGACUUGUCACUUUUGCUCGCCCCUUUGCCACCAGAAUGAAUGGUUCUUGUCCUUGGUGAUUGUGAGCUGAUUUUGCUAUUUGUUGAAGAUGGAAGAGAAUGGCGCCGAGCACUAUUAUUUUUCUCAGCUCCAUCUUGGCUAAACCUUGGGGAACCUUGAGCCCUCAGCUUUGCCUUGGCAGAUUCAGUAGCUGCCAUAUAGCUGGGGAGUACUGGACUGCUCUGUAACCCAUUCUCUGCAUGUUCUUGCUUUGCCAAACUAGAGGUUUUCC